GUGGGGAAUAUUGCACAAUGGGGGAAACCCUGAUGCAGCGACGCCGCGUGAGUGAAGAAGUAUUUCGGUACGUAAAGCUCUAUCAGCAAGGAAGAAAAUGACGGUACUUGACUAAGAAGCCCCGGCUAACUACGUGCCAGCAGCCGCGGUAAUACGUAGGGGGCAAGCGUUAUCCGGAUUUACUGGGUGUAAAGGGAGCGUAGACGGUAUGGUAAGUCAGAUGUGAAAGCCAGGGGCUCAACCCCGGGACUGCAUUUGAAACUAUCAGACUAGAGUGCAGGAGAGGUAAGUGGAAUUCCUAGUGUAGCGGUGAAAUGCGUAGAUAUUAGGAGGAACACCAGUGGCGAAGGCGGCUUACUGGACUGUAACUGACGUUGAGGCUCGAAAGCGUGGGGAGCAAACAGGAUUAGAAACCCGAGUAGUCC
rnacentral:rRNA from 1 species